rnacentral:rRNA from 1 species
UACGUAGGGGGCAAGCGUUGUCCGGAAUUAUUGGGCGUAAAGAGCUCGUAGGCGGUUCGAUAAGUCGGGUGUGAAACCCCCAGGCUCAACCUGGGGACGCCACCCGAUACUGUCGUGACUAGAGUCCAGUAGGGGAGUGUGGAAUUCCCGGUGUAGCGGUGAAAUGCGCAGAUAUCGGGAGGAACACCAGCGGCGAAGGCGGCACUCUGGGCUGGAACUGACGCUGAGGAGCGAAAGCGUGGGGAGCAAACAGG